AAAAUAUCUUUGUCUAAAAAUACUUCAUUUUGAAUCAUUGGUGGAUUCAAGUUUGUGACUUAACAAUUAUUAACGGAUAUUACAAAAUCAUUUAACGACAUUAAAUGUUAACCAUGUGUAUAUAAAUAGAUAUAUACAAAUUUUAUUCAAAAUCUUACAAAUAUAUUGGUGUGGUCUAGUGGUAACAAGUAGUUUAUUUAAUAUUACUGCGUUAAUACGAUCAAGACUCUCUCUUUCUCAAACCUCUUUCUUUUUUUUCCACUUUUACCUAAAUUCUUCUCGACUUCCGCAACUAACCUACUCCACGACCACAAAAAUGACAUAUACAUCGUCGUCGUCAUCUUUGUCUCAAUCUCUCAUGUGUUAAUUGUAUUUAAAUUCAAAUUUAUAGAAAGUGAAGAAAAUGAUGUAUUUAAAUUUGUAUGAUGACAUUCAUUAAAGAAAAUUGGACAUGUGCAAGUUGAAUAACAUACGUGUUACACCAAGCAAUAUAUUUGUAAAAGUUUUUAUAAAUAUUGUAUAUAUUUAUUUUUACAUGGAAAGUUAAAAUUUAACGUAGUUUACUAAUUUCUAAAAACUCUCGUUAACGGCUGUUAAGGUAAGGAUUUGAAUCUAAUAACAAUUCAAAAACAAAGUAUU
rnacentral:sRNA from 1 species